UAGGGAAUCUUCCACAAUGGCGAAAGUCUGAUGGAGCAACGCCGCGUGAGUGAAGAAGGGUUUCGGCUCGUAAAACUCUGUUGUUAAAGAAGAACAUAUCUGAGAGUAACUGUUCAGGUAUUGACGGUAUUUAACCAGAAAGCCACGGCUAACUACGUGUCAG
rnacentral:rRNA from 1 species